rnacentral:rRNA from 1 species
CUUCGGGAUGGAAGGAUAAGAACUUAGUGGCGGACGGGUGAGUAACGCGUGGGUAACCUGCCCUUUUGUGGGGAACAACUUCGAGAAAUCGGAGCUAAUACCGCAUAAUAAUAGAGGAUCGCAUGAUUCUUUAAGGAAAGAUGGCCUCUGAAGAUGCUAUCGCAAAAGGAUGGACCCGCGUCUGAUUAGCUAGUUGGAAGGGUAACGGCCUACCAAGGCAACGAUCAGUAGCCGGCCUGAGAGGGUGAACGGCCACAUUGGGACUGAGACACGGCCCAAACUCCUACGGGAGGCAGCAGUGGGGAAUCUUCCGCAAUGGGCGAAAGCCUGACGGAGCAAUGCCGCGUGAGUGAAGAAGGCCUUCGGGUUGUAAAACUCUGUCCUUAUCGAAGAGAGGUAGGUAUGUGAAUAAUGUACCUAUAGGACGGUAGAUAAGGAGGAAGCCCCGGCUAACUACGUGCCAGCAGCCGCGGUAAUACGUAGGGGGCGAGCGUUGUCCGGAAUCACUGGGCGUAAAGGGCGCGUAGGCGGUUUAAUAAGUCAGUGGUGAAAACUGAGGGCUCAACCCUCAGCCUGCCACUGAUACUGUUAGACUUGAGUAUGGAAGAGGAGAAUGGAAUUCCUAGUGUAGCGGUGAAAUGCGUAGAUAUUAGGAGGAACACCAGUGGCGAAGGCGAUUCUCUGGGCCAAGACUGACGCUGAGGCGCGAAAGCGUGGGGAGCAAACAGGAUUAGAUACCCUGGUAGUCCACGCCGUAAACGAUGGAUACUAGGUGUUAGUAGUUUCGAUGCUACUAGUGCCG